UAUUGACCACAGGAAUGACUUUGGACCAG
rnacentral:piRNA from 1 species